CCUACGGGCGGCAGCAGUGGGGAAUAUUGGACAAUGGGGGCAACCCUGAUCCAGCCAUGCCGCGUGUGUGAAGAAGGCCCUCGGGUUGUAAAGCACUUUCAGUGAGGAAGAACGCCUGGUGGUUAAUACCCAUCAGGAAAGACAUCACUCACAGAAGAAGCACCGGCUAACUCCGUGCCAGCAGCCGCGGUAAUACGGAGGGUGCGAGCGUUAAUCGGAAUUACUGGGCGUAAAGCGCGCGUAGGUGGCUUGAUAAGCCGGUUGUUAAAGCCCCGGGCUCAACCUGGGAACGGCAUCCGGAACUGUCAAGCUAGAGUGCAGGAGAGGAAGGUAGAAUUCCCGGUGUAGCGGUGAAAUGCGUAGAGAUCGGGAGGAAUACCAGUGGCGAAGGCGGCCUUCUGGACUGACACUGACACUGAGGUGCGAAAGCGUGGGUAGCAAACAGGAUUAGAUACCCCAGUAGUC
rnacentral:rRNA from 1 species